AAACACAAAACGAUAAUGUUCAAACUGCCUUUUUUUUAGCAAUCCUGUGAAUCACUAAACUAGUAUUUAGUUGUAUAACCAUGAUUUUCAUGAUCUCUUCACAUUUGCAAGGCAUUAAUUUUGUUGGUUUGGAACCAAGAUUUUGCUCGUUUACUAGUGUGCUUGGGGUCAUUGUCUUGUUGAAACACCCAUUUCAAGGGCAUGUCCUCUUUAGCAUAAGGCA